ensembl:lncRNA SLIT3-AS1 SLIT3 antisense RNA 1
AGUCCUCACCUCCCACAUGCUUUUCAUCACCCGCUCUCACAUCCCAUCUGGGGCCUCUGCUUCCAUCCUACCAUUUCGCAAGCCUGGCCAACUCAAGCUCCGUGUGCUGCACCUAGAGCAGCCCAUCUCUGUGUCAGGGAGGUGAGCUGCUCAGUUGCCAGAGUAUCAACCUGAGCCCAGGACACUGCCAGACUGCUGAGUCAAAGAGGGUUUAGCAGCCCAUUUUCAUAGACAGACAGGUGAGAGGAGGAUGCUGGACAUGGUCCCAGAGACAUGGGGACUCAAGAAACAUGAAGAUCUGUUCACAGCUAAGGGCACAUUUCCAUGCCGAGAAAUCAGGCGUGAGCGCAAGAGUCCUAUCGUCUACCAGAAAAAGAAAUCUUUGGGAGCAUUCAAGGAGGAAUGGCUUCAUGAUGGCAAUGAGCGGCAUCGCCUGAAAGACAGCCUUCGAGAGUCUCCCAGAGCCGCUGAGGAGCAAGGCAGAGAACUGCAAUCCAAGCAAAUGUGGUGGGUGUGAAGCUUUCAAGAAGUUGGGUCAAGAACAAGGACUGAAAGAGGAGCAUCAAUUUGUAAGUUCAGGAAUGUCUGCUCCAUCUUUGCAGAGACAAGCAAAUAUCAGGGACCACCCAAGUCCAUUCAUUGUGAACUAAGUGAAUCAUGACACAACCACACAAUGGAACACCGUGCAGGAUUAUGAUAUACAGACUGCUGAAGAUCUAGAGUUAUUGAUAUGGAAAGAUGCCCAUGAUGUAUUGUUAGCAAAAAAAAUCAGCCUACAAAACAACAUGCAUAGCAUAAUCCUA